UGUUAAAACUUUCAUCCCUUUAUAUUGUUAAAAAGUAGCGUAGCUGACAAAAUAAUCAGAAAAUAUGACAUGUGACGUGCCACAUGCUGACGUACCUGGACUUGCUUUUAAUAGUAAAAAUGGAUGAAAUUUUUAACA
rfam:Gossypium hirsutum cultivar TM-1 unplaced genomic scaffold scaffold4359.1, whole genome shotgun sequence